ACAGAAAGCCUGGGCUCUGUUGCAGCCACGUAAUACUGAGCAGAGUACAGUCGGUCCUUGCUGAUUAUCCAUCUUAGAUAGAGCAGACGCCACAUUUUAGGGAUGCCAUGGAAUAUUUCAUCUUCUCUGUCUGAAUUCACUCAGGAGAAACUGAAUUUUUAAAUGAAAGUCAUUGCAUACUAGCAAGGACCCCUGACUUCUACCUCCUUGUUGAUAGAUUCACAAGGAAAAUAAUGAUUGACACGUUAUUGUCCACUGUAAGUUACCUGUUUCUGUAUAAGAAAUGACUCUAAAGUUGGGUAGCCUAAACAAUACAUAUUUCUUGUCUCACGUACCUUUCACGGGUUAGGGAUCCGAGAGUGACUUAGCUGGGUGGUUCUACUUCACAGUCUUCCAUAAAGUAGUGGUCAACCUGUUG
ensembl:lncRNA